UUAACACAUGCAAGUCGAGCGGUAACAUGGUUAGUAGCAAUACUAAUUGAUGACGAGCGGCGGACGGGUGAGUAACACGUAGGAACCGGCCCAGAAGCGGGGGACAACGAAGGGAAACUUUGGCUAAUACCGCGUAAUCUCGGGAGAGUAAAGCUGCCCGCAAGGGUGGCGCUUCUGGAGGGGCCUGCGUCCGAUUAGCUAGUUGGUGAGGUAAUGGCUCACCAAGGGUGGGAUCGGUAACUGGAUUGAGAGGACGACCGGCCACACUGGGACUGGGACACGGCCCAGACUCCUACGGGAGGCAGCAGUGGGGAAUCUUGGGCGAUGGGUGCAAGCCUGAUCCAGCAAUGCCGCGUGGGUGAAGAAGGCCUUCGGGUUGUAAAGCCCUGUAGGUUGGGAAGAAGUUCAGAGGCUGUAUAAACGUAUGGAUUGACGGUACCAACAGAAUAAGCACCGGCAAACUCUGUGCCAGCCGCCGCCGUAA
rnacentral:rRNA from 1 species